rnacentral:rRNA from 1 species
GGUUACUGCUAUCGGUGUUCGCCUAAGCCAUGCGAGUCAUAUGUUCGUAAGAACAUGGCGUACUGCUCAGUAACACGUGGAUAACCUGCCCUUGGGUCCGGCAUAACCCCGGGAAACUGGGGAUAAUUCCGGAUAACGCACAUAUGCUGGAAUGCUUUUUGCGUAAAAUGGAUUCGUCUGCCCAAGGAUGGGUCUGCGGCCUAUCAGGUAGUAGUGGGUGUAAUGUACCUACCAGCCUACGACGGGUACGGGUUGUGAGAGCAAGAGCCCGGAGAUGGAUUCUGAGACAUGAAUCCAGGCCCUACGGGGCGCAGCAGGCGCGAAAACUUUACAAUGCGGGAAACCGUGAUAAGGGGACACCGAGUGCCAGCAUCCUAUGCUGGCUGUCCGGGUGUGUAAAAUACACCUGUUAGCAAGGGCCGGGCAAGACCGGUGCCAGCCGCCGCGGUAACACCGGCGGCCCGAGUGGUGAUCGUGAUUAUUGGGUCUAAAGGGUCCGUAGCCGGUUUGGUCAGUCCUCCGGGAAAUCUGACAGCUCAACUGUUAGGCUAUCGGAGGAUACUGCCAGACUUGGAACCGGGAGAGGUAAGAGGUACUACAGGGGUAGGAGUGAAAUCUUGUAAUCCCUGUGGGACCACCUGUGGCGAAGGCGUCUUACCAGAACGGGUUCGACGGUGAGGGACGAAAGCUGGGGGCACGAACCGGAUUAGAUACCCGGGUAGUCCCAGCCGUAAACGAUGCUCGCUAGGUGUCAGGCAUGGCGCGACCGUGUCUGGUGCCGCAGGGAAGCCGUGAAGCGAGCCACCUGGGAAGUACGGCCGCAAGGCUGAAACUUAA